CCUACGGGUGGCAGCAGUCGAGAAUCAUUCACAAUGGGGGAAACCCUGAUGGUGCGACGCCGCGUGGGGGAAUGAAGGUCUUCGGGUUGUAAACCCCUGUCAUGUGGGAGCAAAUUCAAAAGAUAGUACCACAAGAGGAAGAGACGGCUAACUCUGUGCCAGCAGCCGCGGUAAUACAGAGGUCUCAAGCGUUGUUCGGAAUCACUGGGCGUAAAGGGUGCGUAGGCUGUUUCGUAAGUCGUGUGUGAAAGGCGCGGGCUCAACCCGCGGACGGCACAUGAUACUGCGAGACUAGAGUAAUGGAGGGGGAACCGGAAUUCUCGGUGUAGCAGUGAAAUGCGUAGAUAUCGAGAGGAACACUCGUGGCGAAGGCGGGUUCCUGGACAUUAACUGACGCUGAGGCACGAAGGCCAGGGGAGCGAAAGGGAUUAGAUACCCUGGUAGUC
rnacentral:rRNA from 1 species